rnacentral:sRNA from 1 species
CUGAUCUGAAAAAGCUUGUUUCUUUAUUUAAGAGAAAGAGGUUGUCAUUCAAAUCAGUUCACCCUGCAGAGAAAGAGAUGAGCACUACGUUUGUAGAAUACANCAAACUGACAUCUGCGAUUACUGGCCACCAAUGUGUGCAUUCUCGGGCUACACGAAAACAACAUCUUCAUCGUCAANUCUUGUCUUUUUAGAAAUCUUAAUNCAUUGCGCAAGNAGAAGUCGGUCAUUAUAAUCCCUGGUUAUANUAAUAAUAGUUGCCUGACAGAAUUAAGUUUCUCUUGAGAAGCCGUUUGUAUUGGGCAAUUACAAGAAUNGUACUAACANAAGAACACUGAUUUGCAAGCAAUGGCAUCGACUCCAUACCCUUCUUUAACAGAGGAGGAAUUAGACGCUUUAGAAAAGUUAGACAAGAGUAUUAAAAUCCAUGAAGACGAUUAUGAUAAUAAGCAAACAGACGAGUCUGACGAUGAAGACAAAAGUGUCAACCUUACGGACGACGAAGAGAAUACUAUCACAGUUAAUGUUCCGCACUCCUUUCAUCCNUUCAAGCUUCCUGCAAUUCCAGAAUCCAGAGAAGCAGAUCCUGAGACUAACCCAUCACAAAGAAAGAUGAACGCUGGGUAUAUNAUCUACGAUGGCUCAGAGAUCAAGUAUGUCAGCGCUAAAGCAGUAGGACCAAUGGAUUCCGAACGGGGCACAUCNACAUUAUCAUCAGAAAAGGGCAGCAGCAUNAGNAGCCGAGCAUCUACCGCCACUCACACGUCUGAUAUUCCUGUGAAUUUUUACCUAAGCGCUGAGGAGUUACUGGAUUGUGAUUACUUAAAUAGAAACCGACGAUUUUCNGUUACACACUACAACAGACUUCCAACAAAUUCUCAUUUCUCAGUAAGAGAAAAAAUAUACUUUUUCCUUGUUGGUUUGNCAUGCGUGAUUUCNUUNAGCGCAAUCUUUGUGAGCGUUUCNUAUUUCAAAACAUAUUUGGGAGAACAUGUUUUAUCGACAAUUGGUUCUUGUCAUCACGCCGCAGUUCUGGUUGCCAUGACAAUAGUCUUCUUCGGCAAAAAGACCUGGUUUUCAUUCGUUCCUACGGUCGUCACCAGUUUUCUUCUCAUGGCAGCCGUGANAGUUGUGUUGCCGAUGUUGGAAGUGUUUCAANUCUCGUACCCAGUCUACGUAGUUCAUGGCUUGGUUAUUGUGAAUGGUUUGUGUAGCGGGUUUGCUCUGGCAGCUACUGACAGGAUGGUGCUACUUUUUCCAGGAGGAAAGAGCUCUAUGUUGAUUGGUUGGGGAUCAGCUCUUGGCAACAUCCUGCCAGCACUAACUAAACUUGUCCUGAUAACCAUUGACUACCACGCCAGCAACACCAGCAUCUUUUCAUCCAAGAUCUCAAUGANAAGGCCUUAUCUAAAAUGGGCCAAAGCGCUUUUCAUUUUUCACUCUCCUUCAUAAGGCUUGGUUUCGUGGCAGGAGUUGUACUUUACAUCCGGGAACCAUAUUUUGUCUAUCAUAAUAUUUUCAUUCUUCUAUUGUUCCUCGCGAUUGCGGUGACUCAUGGAGGAUUAUUGGUUGGUAUGACAACUCAGAGCCAAUCAGACUCAGGAAUGCAGAACAAUGACUUCUGUCCAAUCAUAUCACAGCUCACAUGGCUGACCAUCCAACUGGGUUCAGUUGUUGGCGUAGCGGUGUCUUUUGUNCCUCUCACGUGAUCUGAUCUCACCAAUGGUCAAUCNGAAUUAAAAUCACGUGAUCUUGUAAGGUACCAUCCACUUGGCAAAGCAGCAAAGCACAACAUUCACUUGNCAUGUACAUUAACAAUAGUAAAGCCAUGCGCGCAGAAAAGUGACGUUAUUAGAUAUUANUAAAAUGAAAAUGCAUAAUAAUAAAAUGAAAAUGAAGA